AUACAUAGGGGGCAAGCGUUAUCCGGAUUUACUGGGCGUAAAGGGUGCGUAGGUGGUUAUAAAAGUCUGUGGUGUAAGUGCAGUGCUCAACGCUGUGAGGCUAUGGAAACUAUAUAACUAGAGUGAGACAGAGGCAAGUGGAAUUCCAUGUGUAGCGGUAAAAUGCGUAAAUAUAUGGAGGAACACCAGUGGCGAAGGCGGCUUGCUGGGUCUAAACUGACACUGAUGCACGAAAGCGUGGGGAGCAAACAGGAUUAGAUACCCUGGUAGUCCACGCCGUAAACGAUGAGAACUAAGUGUUGGCCAUAAGGUCAGUGCUGCAGUUAACGCAUUAAGUUCUCCGCCUGAGUAGUACGUGCGCAAGCAUGAA
rnacentral:rRNA from 1 species